UCUAGGUCGGUGAUAGCAUGAUCCGACAGUGAUCUCAGCUUCCUGGCCAACUUGUAUUGGUGUCCGUUCAAAUACAUGUGUUGGCCGAACACAGCGAAAAACGGCGUCACUCCAGUAGCGCUAUGGACUGCGUUGCGUAUCGCUACCUCGAUUUCCGGUAGUCCGGUUUACGCGUUCAGCGGCAUUACUUUGGGGCGAAUACACAGGCGUGCGCAUAUGGGUGAUUCCAAAGCCUUUGACCAUCGUCUCAAAGGAUUUGGAAAUGAAUUGCCGUCCGUUGUCAGAGUGUAUCACCUCCGGUACUCCGAAUUUGAAGAAUACUUCGUGAACUAGGAAGUCCACGACAUCCGCAGCCGAAGCGUCUCUCAUCGCCUUCAAGAAGGUGAACUUGGAAAAAUGAUCUACGACUAUGAAGAUCCAAGCGUGCCCACGUUUGGAUCGUGGAUAUUUCCCCAAAAAGUCUAUAUAUAGCUUCUGGAAUGGGCGAUCGGUAGCACAUCCUCGUACGAAAUCCUGUACUUGUACCGCCAUGCCAGGCCAGUAAAAAUGCCUCCUCAGUGCAUGCAAAGUUUUCGCCACCCCGCCGUGAGCUGACGUCUCGUCCGAGUGCGCCUUCUGGAUCAAUCCCGCCGUCAGUGAAUCGGGUAUCCACAGCUUCCAGCUCGACUGGGUCGUUCCAUCGUCAACCGACUCCUCCGUCACUCUCUUAAACAGCAUGCCACUCUGUACUUUCACGUCUGGCAACCGAUGUUGUUGGCUGGUGACCUCGUUGACCAGCUGUUUAUAGUCGGUUGACUCGAACUCCGUCGUCUCCAUCCCAAGAAGAUCCUCCGGCGUCACAAUUAACUCCUCUACGCUUCUCGACAAAGUAUCCGCAACGACAUUCUCAGUCCCCUUUCGAAACUGCAUCGUGAACGGAAAAGCCUGGAGUUCCAGUGACCAUCUGGCCAGUCUCCCUGUCAAGUCCUUGAGACUCAUGAGCCAUUGGAGGCUUGCGUGGUCGGUGAUCACGGUGAAUGGCAUCAUUUCAACAUACGGCCUAAAUCGGUGAAUGGCCAACUUCGCUGCCAAGCACUCCUUUUCAGUCACCGUAUAGUUGACUUGGUGCCGGUUCAAUUUGGCCGAAAAGAACGCGAUCGGCCUUUCCUGCUGUUCCUCGUCCAAUUGGAACAAAACAGCUCCGACUCCGAAAUUCGAUGCGUCACACUGGAUGUAGAAAGGCUUCUUAAAGUCGGCGUGCACCAACACAGGAGCCGUGAGAAUUCGUCAGUGGUACUGAGAUCUCUGCGAAGUUCUUAAUGAAUCUCCGAUACCAGCCAGCCGUACCCAAGAAGCUACGCAGUUCCUUGACCGUUCUUGGAGCAGGGAUGUUAUUUAUGGCCUCCACUCUGCUCGGAUCCAUCCGCAAAGUGCCUCCACCUAUGAUGAAACCUAAAUAGUUGAGGUUCCUAAAGCAGAACUUUGAUUUGGCCAUGCCAAUGGUGUGUGUCGAAAUCCGCCGAGAUGAUUAACAAAUCGUCCAAGUACACGAAUACAUUGGACCUUAGGGACGUCGGGAUUACUUUGUCCAUGAGUCGGCAAAGUUGCUGUGCUGCGUUGCAUAAUCCGAAGGGCAUGUGGCGGAAUUGGUACAGCGGUCGUCCCGGAACUGUGAAAGCUGUAUAAGCUCUACUGCUUUCCUCCAGCUCGAUUUGCCAGAAAGCAAACUUCAAAUCGACACUUGAGAUGAAGUGCGUCUCGUCGAUCCGCGAGAGAAUGCCUUCGAUGCAUGGAAGGGGGUACGCAUCUUUCACCGUCACGCUGUUCAGCUUCCGAGCGUCUAAACAAAAUCGAUUCUUGCCGGGCUUCAUGACGACCGUCGUCCUAUUGCUCCAUGGACUGUUGCUCUCUUCGAUGAUGCCCAACUGAAGCAUCUUAUCAACCUCCUUCCACACGAUCUCCUGUUUUGCUGGGGAUAGAGGGAAAUGUCGGUCCUUCACGGGUUCGGUUCC